AGGUAAUUCCACCUGAUUUAGCAGGCAAACUGAACUUUCAAAUUAUGAUAAUAAAUAUCUGAUCACGAGGUAUGCAAACAGCAGGACACUUCGUUUUUCUUUUCCAUUCUUCUGUUGAAGGCGAGCAACGAUACAUAGCAGCUUCUUCACGCAAAAAGAAGCAGCAGCGGUACUCCAUAGCUAAGCACUAAGAGUUAAAAACACAGUAAGAACGUGAGCACAAAUGAAGGACACACUUAUGCACAGAGGGACAGGCAAUUCUACGAGACGUCCACCGGCCUAGCCUCACAGGUCCGUGGUCGUCGAGACAUCGAUCAUCGUGCUCCGGUUCACGAUGAUCAUCCCCCUGACCUCCGACGGGCCGAGAUGGUCCGUCAAGGCCUUCUUCGCGGCGGCGGCAGCCCUGCUGCCCUGAGACCGUCUGCCGGCACCGACCGAGGUCCUCGGGCUCGACAGCCGCCCCGGGGAGAAGCUCGGCGUGGCGUAUGCCGUCACGAACGGCGUGCCCAAGGCAGGCACCUGCUGGUAGGGCGGCACCACGGCCCUGCCGCACGCCAUCUUCAGGUCGGCUUCACCCGACGACAGUUGCUCCACGUGCCUGUUCAGCUCGUCGAUGUUGAGAAGAUCGUCGAUGCGCGCCACGAUGUUCGAAGCCAGGCUCUCCAAAACCCUCGAAUAGCUCUCCAGGAUCGACUUGCCCACAUCCUGAAAAUUGUUCACCAUGCAGCGAUGGUGAAUGAACUCAGUUGUUGACAGGCAAAUGGGUGAAAAGACAGACAAAGGGACACACACUUGCAAGCAAACCAACCUUGUUGUACUGAAUUUUGCUCAUGUCCAGGCUUGUCUGCGUCAGUGCAGGGAACCUCUGCUUGAGGCAUAUCAAGAGGCCCUCUUCUUGCUGGCCAUCAUUGCGGGUACGUCGGCGGUGCGAUCACUGGCCGGAGUUUUGAAAACGCGAGAGCCAGGCCACACUGCCUUUCCGGUUCUUCAGGUUCCAGAAAACAGCAGUAAAAGCUGCAGGAUUUCACUUUUAACUGGAGUCCGUCCGUACCGAUCAAACUAACUGGUGCAGGUAAUUCCACCUGAUUUAGCAGGCAAACUGAACUUUCAAAUUAUGAUAAUAAAUAUCUGAUCACGAGGUAUGCAAACAGCAGGACACUUCGUUUUUCUUUUCCAUUCUUCUGUUGAAGGCGAGCAACGAUACAUAGCAGCUUCUUCUCGCAAAAAGAAGCAGCAGCGGUACUCCAUCGCUAAGCACUAAGAGUUAAAAACACAGUAAGAACGUGAGCACAAAUGAAGGACACAAUUAUGCACAGAGGGACAGGCAAUUCUACGAGCCGUCCACCGGCCUAGCCUCACAGGUCCGUGGUCGUCGAGGCAUCGAUCAUCGUGCUCCGGUUCACGAUGAUCAUCCCCC
rnacentral:lncRNA from 1 species